GACGAACGCUGGCGGCGUGCUUAACACAUGCAAGUCGAACGGAGAAGCCCUGCUUUUGUUGGGUGCUCGAGUGGCGAACGGGUGAGUAACACGUGAGUAACCUGCCCUUUACUUUGGGAUAACGUCAGGAAACGGGUGCUAAUACCGGAUAUGAGCUCGUGCUCCCUGGGGGGGGUGGGGAAGGGGCUGGGGUGGUGGAGGGUCGGGUCGCUUCUCAGCUGGUUGGUGGGGGAGUGGUUUACCAAGGGUUUGUCGGAUAGCCGGCCGGGGGGGGUGACCGGCGACAUUGGGCCUGAGAUACGGCGCAGAGUCGUACGGGAGGAAGCAGCGGGGAAUAUGGCAGAAUGGGCGGACGCCUGAUGCAGAAACGUCGCGUGCGGGAUGACGGCCUUCGGGUUGUAAAAUGCUUUCGCCUGUGACGAAGUGGGAGUGACGGUAAUGGGUAAAGAAGCACCGGCUAACUACGUG
rnacentral:rRNA from 1 species